AUGCUAGAUGCACGCCUGUGGCGACGGCUCUGUACAGGAGCCUGCCAACUGAGGUCCCCAGUGGCUCGGGAAAUCAGGGUCUGUAGGCACACUGGAUCCAGCUGUGGGAAACCGCUGGGGUCCAGGUGCGAGCCAUCCAGGGAUCACCUGGGAUCAAGAGAUUGUCUGGGAUCUAGAGAUCAACCAAGACCUAGAGACCAGCUGGGUUCCAGGGAUUGCCCCAGGGUCCAGGGACCCCCCCCCCCGGGAUUCCCUGGAACCUGGGGCUAUUCCUGGAUCGCCCGGGAUCCCCGCGAUCGCCGAGGGCCUAGCGACAAGCCUGUCCCCAGGCCGCCCGGCGGUAGGUGCAGGGGGUGGCCCCGCACGGCGCCCGCAGAGGCAGCGGCAGCGCAGCGGGGGAGGGCGCUCCGGUGCCGGGGGCCGAGCCCGGAGCCGGGCGCUGGCGGGGGCCGAGCUCCGACCGUACCUCUGCGCCGCGGCCGCUCCCCGCUGCUGCUCCGGCCUGCGGGGCCGCGCUGGUCCCACCCCGCCUGGGGCGGGGCACGGGGCUGGGCGUCUCCGCCGCUGAGUCACUGCGGGAAGCCUCCCGCGCUCGCCCCCGCCCGUCCUCCUUUCCCUGCUCCCGCCAGCCGCUGCGCUCGCCUCUCCCCGCCCCGCCCACAGCGGGGGACGCACCGGGAGCCUCCGUGGGGAAGCAGCAGGGGGCCAGGUCUGGGCCUAAGCUGGCUUGGAAGCCUUGUCCUGCCCCGGCCAGGGCCCUUAGCCUCAGGGGCCGCCUUUGUCCCUGGCAGCCGGGCCUCGCAGGCCCUUUGCUUACCAGGUGAGCCUGGGCCUCGCCAAGGCACCAGUUCUGCUUGGGGCCUCGGCCCUCCCGCCUGCCCUGGCCCGUUACCCUUGGUGCCUCACCUGCAGGAAGGCCCCUUGGGCCUUCUGCGGGGCUUCCCCUUGGUCCCAGUCCCAACAUCUGACGCUGCUGUAUCAGUCACCCAGGCACAGGAUACUAGCUCAUGUUUUUGCCCCACCCUGAAGAGCUCCUAUUUACUGUCCCACUUUGUCAGGCGGGGGGCAUUUAACAGCCCUGACCUGGUUCCCUUGGUCUGGCCAGUUGUUUGGGCGCUUUGGGAGCCUCAGUUCAGCCCUUUGAAGAGAUCAGGUGGCUCAGCCUGGAAACAAAUGAAGGAAGGCCACCCCCCUUUCUCCCCGCUUUUCCUCCCCUCCCCGCAGCAGACGAUUGGCUGA
rnacentral:lncRNA from 1 species